UAUAUAUAUAUAUAUAUAUACACACACACAUAUAUUAUAUAUAUCUAUUAUAUAUCAUUAUUCCAUAUUUUUCACACGUCUAAAAAAAAGUCGUAUUAAUGCCUCCACUUUUGAAUAUGAAUCUAAUCAGCUGUAAUCUGGAUGAAUAAGUGUGUUCUGACAUGGGUGCCACAAAUUGCUCUGCACUUCACGGCAAUUUAUGUGUCAACUGUCAUUGUUUCACAUGAACGCCGUUGAGGGUACUAAUUACCGUUAUCAUCCUUCCCGAUGGUGGAAUUCGCUUGAAUUCCACUCUUUUUGUUUGUGAAAUGAGUGAUGUAGGUUACAGGCAGGGUCUAUACUGUCAUCAGCAUAUUUGAUAGUCAAAUUGAAUAUGUCAAUGCAAAUAUUAUAAUGUAAAGAAAUGCUUGAGUCAGUGGGACUGUAAAGGUACCUGCCUUCAGUUACCAUAGCAAGCAUAGUCCUGUUUUUGUUGAAGACAGCACGGAACAUAUUGCACCAAAUUCUUUUAAGCUUAUGUGCAGAAAUGUGACAGCAGAGGAGAAUAUACACAGUAUAGGAUUUCUUUGUAUGUGGAAUCUUGCCAAGUACAACAUUAAUCCAGACCAUCACGAGGUGAGACGUUAAAUAUACACGCACUCAUGCACCUCUGUUUUUGUUCUGCUCUUUGUUCAUUCAGUAUGUGCAUGAGUGUGGAAGGUACUUCAAAGGGUAAUUAUAAAUUUACUGCUUCGUUUCUUCCAAAUAUGAGCAUAAAUUUAGUUAACAUAUGUAUUCAUGUGAAGCAAGUUUUAUUUGUGUAGUGCUUUUCACAACACACAUUGUUCCAAAGCAGCUUUAAAGCUAGAGCCUAUCAGCGACUAUAGAUGUUAGGGAGGAGGCACAUAGACAUUGACAUAGUGCAUAUGUUAUUGCAAAUGUUACUUACACUAAAACUAAUACAAAAUAUAAAAUCAAAAUGGAAAAAACAAACAAAUUUUUAAAACUAUAAAAGAUAAACGAUGCAAAGUAGAAGAACAAACAUGAAAUGCAAUACACAGUUUUGUAGAGAUAUAAAUCCAUCUAAUAUAAUAAGAGCAUUACCACAAUAAAACAUGCAUGUAGUAUAACAUCUGAACAUAAGGUCCAGUCUUUAUGAAAGCAGAACCAUAUGAUAGAAUUUUGUGAAAAAAAUAAAAAUAAUAAUAGAAUAGAUGCAGUCAGUCCCACGUUGUCUGGUGCAUAUCUGUCAUAUUUGUGUCCAAGGAUGCUAAUAUUAAAAAUGUACAGAUUCUGUUAAGAAAAUCCAUUGCCAGACAGACAGUGCAGCUCAAUAGAAAUCCACAGCCUCCUCUUGUGUUAGAACAGUAGAGCCUGCUGUCAUCCUUGCCAGACAGUUUCUUCUUUUUUUCUGACAGACAGUUGGAAGUGAUUGCAUUUUGCAUGAAUGCCUCAUUACUCACAGGUCAACUACUGGGCAGUAUAAGACACGGAGACUUGACAGAAGGCUGUAAAAGACAAACACACAGAAAACCUGCUCGUAGUGUCUGUGUGUGGAGCCCGGCAGCUAAGUUUCUUUUGAAAAACAUACAAAUGACAAGAAACAUUAAUAGGCUUUUGUAAAGCAAUUGAGCUAAAUUGAUUUUAAUGAAAUUAAUAAAUGUUCGGGGUUCAGACACACUUCCUCUGUUUAAAUCUAGAUUAAAAACACACCUCUUUGGCCAAGCAUUCAAAUAAUGCAUCUCAUAAUUUUGGACUGCAGUUAUAUCUGAUCAAAUGUGCAUUAUUAUUCUUUAGCUUGGGUUAAACUAAUUAAUUUUACUUGGCUGGAACAGCAGCUACGCUAAUUAUGUCUCUAUUUGUUUCUCUGCUUUGCCACGGGAUUUACAUCCCGUGGUAACUAGGAUUUACACAAGCUCCAGUCUGGAUCCAGAACACCUGAGAAGAGAUGAUGCCAACCCCUCAGAGGACCUCAGAUGAUGCUAACCCAGAGACAACAUACAGAACUACCACAUUUUGCUAUAAGUUUGAUUGCAUAAUUGCUGUUAAUAGUGUAAAUCGUCUGUUUGUUUACGUCUUUUAUUGAUUUUUCCGAACAUUUCUGCCAUAUGCACAUGAACUGACAGUCACCACUGAUAAGCUACUACUAAAUAUUGUAGAAACUUAACUUUCUGUAAAGUUGCUUUGUAAUGAUUUGUAUCGUAAAAAGCGCUAUACAAAUUAACUUGAAUUGAAUCGAAUUGAAUUGAAUAUGUAUUUUAGCUAAAAUGAAUCUUGAUGCUGUUUAUUCCUGUGGCCUCUUGAACUUCUUGUUAGGCCACCAUGAUCCAGGAGAUAGUAAGGAAACAUAAAUCAGAAAUGUUUUUCUUUCUUUAAGAAACACUUGUUAGAGAGGAUUGUGUUAAAGACAUUGGCUUGGAGGCAAAGGAUAUAAUUGUAAUUAACAAAAUUAAUUUAAGCAUAAUUGUUCCAUGGAGCUUUACUGACUGCAAGAAAGUCUAGAAUUUAGAAUCAAACAGGCAAAAACUCAUUUGGUGUUAAAUCAGUUUUCACUGACUAAAUACUGUUUUUUUUUAAGAUAAUAUUAUAUGUGCAGUGCAGGGAUUACAUAUACUGUACAGUCAGCUGAUGAUUAUCACUAAAUAAACCCC
ensembl:lncRNA